rnacentral:rRNA from 1 species
AGAGUUUGAUCCUGGCUCAGGGUGAACGUUGGCGGCGUGCUCGACACAUGCAAGUCGAACGGUAUGUGGCAACACAUGGAGUGGCGAACGGGUGAGUAACACGUGGGAACGUACCCUACGCAGGGGGAUAACUGACCGAAAGGACAGCUAAUACCGCAUAAGACCGAAAGGUGUAAGGUGCAACUGCACCGGCGAAGGAGCGGCCCGCGGACCAUCAGCUAGUUGGUGGGGUAAGAGCCUACCAAGGCAACGACGGAUAGCCGGCGUGAGAGCGUGGCCGGCCACAAGGACACUGAGGUACGGGUCCUACUCCUACGGGAGGCAGCAGUGCGGAAUUUUAGAUAAUGGAGGCAACUCUGAUCUAGCGACGCCGCGUGCAGGAAGAAGGUCUUCGGAUUGUAAACUGCUGUGGUAAGGGAAAAAUGCCAUGUAGAGUGGAAAGCUACAUGGAGGGAUGGUACUUUACUAGAAAGCCCCGGCUAACUACGUGCCAGCAGCCGCGGUAAUACGUAGGGGGCGAGCGUUACCCGGAAUCACUGGGCGUAAAGGGAGCGUAGGUGGCCUGACAUGUCAACUGUGAAAACCCGGAGCUCAACUCCGGACUUGCAGUUGAAACUGCCAGGCUUGAGGACGGUAGAGGAAGACGGAACUGCCAGUGUAGGGGUAAAAUCCUUAGAUAUUGGCAGGAACGCCGGUGACGAAGGUGGUUUUCUGGGCCGGUUCUGACACUGAUGCUCGAAAGCCAGGGGAGCGAACGGGAUUAGAUACCCCGGUAGUCCUGGCCCUAAACGAUGUUCACUAGGUGUGGGGAGCGGAAAGCUUUCCGUGCUAAAGCUAACGCAAUAAGUGAACCGCCUGGGGAGUACGCCCGCAAGGGUGAAACUCAAAUGAAUUGACGG